AUUAUUUUUAAAUUUAAUAUCUAAAAGAAUAUACAAAAUAUAUAAAAUGUUUUUAAGUUGUCCAAAAUACUUGGAAAUAUAUACAAAUAGUUAUAAGUACAUGUUUAAAAUAGCUAAUUGAUACGUAAAACACUUAAAAAUACUUAAAAUAUCUAUUGAUUUCAUAUCCAAAUGCUUAAGCUAAACCAAAUUUUAUGUCAAAUUUAAGUAUUACGACAUACAUUAUUCAAAUUUAUAUGUUAUAUAUUAUUUU
rnacentral:lncRNA from 1 species